rnacentral:sRNA from 1 species
AAGAUGUUUUUUGUUCCAAGAGAGAAUUGAAGAAUGUCAUUUUCAACCGAAGGGAUGACAGCUGAUGAGUGGGCUGAGAAAAUGCCCAAAGGCCCACCACCUACCUCUCCCAAGGCCAUGGCCGACAGAGACAUCCUGGCUCGCCUCCACAAAGCAGUGACUUCCCAUUACCAUGCCAUCACCCAGGAGUUUGAGAAUUUUGACACCAUGAAAACCAACACCAUCUCCAGAGAGGAGUUUAGGGCCAUUUGUAAUCGCCACGUCCAAAUCCUGACGGAUGAACAGUUUGACAGACUCUGGAACGAGAUGCCAGUCAAUGCCAAGGGGAGGCUGAAAUACCCGGACUUCCUGAACAGGUUCAGUUCCGAGACAGCAGCCACACCAAUGGCCACUGGUGACUCGGCCGUGGCCCAGAGAGGGAGCAGUGUCCCCGACGUCUCAGAAGGCACCAGAUCUGCCCUCUCAUUGCCCACUCAGGAGCUGAGACCAGGGUCAAAGUCGCAGAGUCACCCCUGUACUCCAGCGAGCACCACCGAGAUCCCGGGUACUCCGCCCUUGCAGAACUGUGAUCCCAUAGAGAGCAGGCUCCGGAAGAGAAUCCAGGGCUGCUGGCGCCAGCUCCUGAAAGAAUGCAAGGAGAAGGAUGUGGCGAGACAGGGGGACAUCAACGCCUCCGAUUUCCUGGCUCUUGUGGAGAAAUUCAACCUGGACAUAAGCAAAGAGGAAUGUCAGCAGCUCAUUAUAAAAUAUGACUUAAAGAACAACGGGAAAUUUGCAUACUGUGACUUCAUUCAGAGCUGUGUCCUCCUGCUAAAAGCAAAGGAAAGCUCACUGAUGCACAGGAUGAAGAUCCAGAAUGCACACAAAAUGAAAGAAGCUGGCGCUGAGACGUCAUCUUUUUACUCUGCUCUGCUGCGUAUUCAGCCCAAAAUUGUGCACUGCUGGAGGCCAAUGCGGCGCACGUUCAAAAGCUAUGAUGAGGCUGGAACGGGGCUGCUAAGCAUCGCAGAUUUCAGGACGGUCCUGAGACAGUACAGCAUCAACCUCUCUGAGGAAGAGUUCUUCCAUAUUCUGGAGUAUUACGAUAAGACACUGUCUUCAAAAAUCUCCUACAACGACUUCCUCCGGGCGUUCCUCCAGUAGACACCCCUGCCGUGCGCCCAGCGGGACGACAGCCACAGGGCCUGUUUCAAGACUAAUAAAAUCCUAUAAUUUGGGGGUUUCAUGAAUUUUCAAAAAAGCAAAACCCAA